UUCCCUAAUUAAUACCUGCUGUGGAGGGACUCCAGGUGGCAAGUGAAUUAAGCAACUGGGGAGGCCACAGCAGCUGAAUUUAAUCAAGGUCUUUCAUCAGUUCAGUUAAUUGGAUUUCUUCAGAUGCUCACUUUUCUUCCUUCAUUUUGGCAAACUUGUGUCACCUGGGGUCAUCAACAGGUGGCCAUACACGAUGAGAGAUCUUCCCACAAUGGCCUGUGGCAGACCACCUACCUGGGCACAGGAUCACCUGAUUGUGGUUUUCUUCCUGACAACACCAAGGGAGAUGGCAACACAGAUGAGUAAGUGCAGAUGUAUGGAGUCAUGCGUCAUUCAGGGGAUGCAAAGCGACACCAGCAGGACAGGAAGUGAGUGACAUAACUUCCCUUAGAGCACGCAUACACACGCAGGAAUGUAUUAAAGC